rnacentral:rRNA from 1 species
UACGGAAGGCAGCAGUGGGGAAGUAUUGCACAACUGGGCGCAAGCCUGAUGCAGCCGAUGCCGCGUGUAUGAAGAAGGCCUUCGGGUUGUAAAGUACUUUCAGUCGUGAGGAAGGUGUUAAGGUUAAUAACCUUAGCAAUUGACGUUAGCGACAGAAGAAGCACCGGCUAACUCCGUGCCAGCAGCCGCGGUAAUACGGAGGGUGCGAGCGUUAAUCGGAAUUACUGGGCGUAAAGGGCACGCAGGCGGUUAAUUAAGUUGGAUGUGAAAUCCCCGGGCUUAACCUGGGAAUGGCAUUCAAGACUGGUUAGCUAGAGUCUUGUAGAGGGGGUAGAAUUCCAUGUGUAGCGGUGAAAUGCGUAGAGAUGUGGAGGAAUACCGGUGGCGAAGGCGGCCCCUGGACAAAGACUGACGCUCAUGUGCGAAAGCGUGGGGAGCAAAC